rnacentral:rRNA from 1 species
GAGGGAAGGGGUGAGAAAGAGGAGGAGGCGGCGGCGGGGGUAACCGAACCGGGAGAGAUCAAGGGCUGAAGGACGGGACGGGCGCGGCGCAGUGACAUAGGAGGAACAGGGUACGUGGCGGCGUCAGGAAGAGGACGGGGAGGUAACCUUGGUUGGCCUCUUGCAGACCUUCACCUCCUUUAGGGACGGACAGAGAGAUGUCCUAGACCUAGCCGAGGGCACUGAGAAGGAGGGAGACAACUAGGCCGUACCUCCAGUUUGGACCGCAGCCAAACAGAAUCGCCUCGCCGGCACACCACCGGCCAGAUGCCGUACCGAGUAACCUCCAUCGUCGCUGUCGCCGUAGCGUCAAAGGAAGGGGCAGGUACUCCGUGUGUAUGACCUUGUGCUGCCAGGUCGGUUGGAGACCGGAGACGAAGAAGGAGGGGCUGCCACGACACCUUGGUUGCGACCCAAGGUGAUGGGGACUGGCACCGGAUUGUGCGUACUUGACUUCUAUUCAAUAAGAUAAAGAAGGAAUUUCACUCUAGCAAACGAAGAGACCAGGUCAAGAUCAUUAAACAUGUUCCGGAAUCGAACAACAGUCCCUCCUUGAAAGUAGAGUAACGAUUUUGAACCCAUUUGACACCCGUAUGUUUUAUGUAGAAACAAAAACAACGGAAUGUUUGUACCUACACUUGUUUGGCUUACAACCGUUUGUUAGCAUAUAGGUAAAAGUGAAUAAUACUAUAAAGACUUUCACUUUCCCUGAUUCCUAUCGUGUCUCUCGUCUCUCGUGUGUCCAAUACAACCUUUUUAACCAGCUUC